UGAACGCUGGCGGCGUGCCUAAUACAUGCACGUCGAGCGAACGGACGCGAAGCUUGCUUCUCUGAUGUUAGCGGCGGACGGGUGAGUAACACGUGGAUAACCUACCUAUAAGACUGGGAUAACUUCGGGAAACCGGAGCUAAUACCGGAUAAUAUUUUGAACCGCAUGGUUCAAAAGUGAAAGACGGUCUUGCUGUCACUUAUAGAUGGAUCCGCGCUGCAUUAGCUAGUUGGUAAGGUAACGGCUUACCAAGGCAACGAUGCAUAGCCGACCUGAGAGGGUGAUCGGCCACACUGGAACUGAGACACGGUCCAGACUCCUACGGGAGGCAGCAGUAGGGAAUCUUCCGCAAUGGGCGAAAGCCUGACGGAGCAACGCCGCGUGAGUGAUGAAGGUCUUCGGAUCGUAAAACUCUGUUAUUAGGGAAGAACAUAUGUGUAAGUAACUGUGCACAUCUUGACGGUACCUAAUCAGAAAACCACGGCUAACUACGU
rnacentral:rRNA from 1 species